rnacentral:rRNA from 1 species
AGCAUAUCAUAAGCGGAGGGAAAAAGAAACUAACAAGGGAUUUCCCCUAGUAACUGCGAGUGAAGCGGGAAAAGCUCAAAUUUAAAAUCUGGCAGUCUUUGGCUGUCCGAGUUGUAGUCUGGAGAAGUGUUUUCCGCGCUGGACCGUGUACAAGUCUCUUGGAAUAGAGCGUCAUAGAGGGUGAGAAUCCCGUCUUUGACACGGACCGCCAGUGCUUUGUGAUGCGCUCUCAAAGAGUCGAGUUGUUUGGGAAUGCAGCUCAAAAUGGGUGGUAAAUUCCAUCUAAAGCUAAAUAUUGGCGAGAGACCGAUAGCGAACAAGUACCGUGAGGGAAAGAUGAAAAGCACUUUGGAAAGAGAGUUAAACAGUACGUGAAAUUGCUGAAAGGGAAACGCUUGAAGUCAGUCGCGUUGUCCAGAACUCAGCCUGGCUUUUGCUUGGUGCAUUUUCUGGAUAACGGGCCAGCAUCAAUUUUGAUCGUUGGAUAAAGGUCUUGGGAAUGUGGCACCUUCGGGUGUGUUAUAGCCCUUGAUUGCAUACAACGAUUGGGAUUGAGGAUCUCAGCAUGCCUUUAUGGUCGGGGUUCGCCCACGUUCAUGCUUAGGAUGCUGGCGUAAUGGCUUUAAUCGACCCGUCUUGAAACACGGACCAAGGAGUCUAACAUGCCUGCGAGUAUUUGGGUGGUAAACCCGAGUGCGCAAUGAAAGUGAAAGUUGGGAUCUCUGUCGCGGAGAGCACCGACGCCCGGACCAGACCUUUUGUGACGGUUCCGCGGUGGAGCAUGUAUGUUGGGACCCGAAAGAUGGUGAACUAUGCCUGAAUAGGGUGAAGCCAGAGGAAACUCUGGUGGAGGCUCGUAGCGAUUCUGACGUGCAAAUCGAUCGUCAAAUUGGGUAUAGGGGCGAAAGACUAAUCGAACCAUCUAGUAGCUGGCUCCUGCGA